GACGAACGCUGGCGGCGUGCCUAAUACAUGCAAGUCGAGCGAAUCGAUGGGAGCUUGCUCCCUGAGAUUAGCGGCGGACGGGUGAGUAACACGUGGGUAACCUGCCUGUAAGACUGGGAUAACUUCGGGAAACCGGAGCUAAUACCGGAUAAUUUCUUUUCUCGCAUGAGGAGAGAUGGAAAGAUGGUUCUGCUAUCACUUACAGAUGGACCCGCGGCGCAUUAGCUAGUUGGUGAGGUAACGGCUCACCAAGGCGACGAUGCGUAGCCGACCUGAGAGGGUGAUCGGCCACACUGGGACUGGGACACGGCCCAGACUCCUACGGGAGGCAGCAGUAGGGAAUCUUCCGCAAUGGACGAAAGUCUGACGGAGCAACGCCGCGUGAGCGAAGAAGGCCUUCGGGUCGUAAAGCUCUGUUGUUAGGGAAGAACAAGUACGAGAGUAACUGCUCGUACCUUGACGGUACCUAACCAGAAAGCCACGGCUAACUACGUGCCAGCAGCCGCAGUAAAAC
rnacentral:rRNA from 1 species